UUCGCUUGCAACUACAACUACAACGCACUUGACCGGAUUCCAAUUGCCUUUGUUCGCAAAAGUUUCCAGUUUCGAGUGCACAUCCAAUCCCGGAAUAACGGAAUAACAGCAUAACGGAAUAACGGCAUAACGAAAUCCCGCAAUCCGCGACGCAGAUUAAAGUAGGGUAGGAAGUCAAGUGGCGGUUGAAAGGAGUGCAAGUACAGCAACUACUUACAGUAAGGGGUAACAUCAUCAAAAUUUGCAAAAAUUGGCAAAAUUAUAAAAUGUCUAAAUUUGAUUCUCCAUCGAUUGGGGGUCAAAUUACGAGAUCAUCGAGGUAUGACAUUCCAUAUUUGGACCAAGAAUUUCAAUGAUAUGGUCAAAAAUCUGAUAAUUUUGGAGAGAAAAUCAGUAGACGAGUAUGUACAUAUCAGUCCUUCGAUUUUGCCCAUUGUGCGAGGCCUACGCAUUGUUUUCCUAGCAGGAAUGGACGUUGGCCGGAGGAGGGGAUCGUCGGAGGGGGGGUAAUGAACAGCGUGUGAAAAGUGUCACUGGCCGUGUACGUGUGUGCGUGAUAUGUGUGUGCGAUGUGUGCUUGUGUGUGCGAGCGGGAGAUGCCGAUGCCUCAAUUGCGGUUCAUUUAUGUGGAGCACUGAGAGCAGCGGCCUGGAGCAAAAACAAAAACAUUCAACGGGAGCGAGCGGAAGUGCGCAGCUCUCCCCGGCGCUCUUGCUUCCGCUUCCUGUUGGGAUGUGCUGGAAUUUCAGCGCACAGGACACUGAGAGAGAGCCCACCUGAGAGAGGAUGCGGAGGACAUGGACGCGGCACCCAUGUGCUUGGGGGAUGAGCGAACCCUUUGCCCGGAAAGCGUGUCAUUGUGUUUUGCUCUAGAGGAGCCUGCGCUAAAAUGAGCCAAAAGGCACAACAAUAAAUGAGGAGCUCCGUUGCAACGGCACUCAUUUAGGCUACAUUCCAUUUGCAAAUAUUAAUCUUUAACAUUUAUUUUUUAGCUAAAAUCGGAAGCCUGGCUUUCCAUAACUACAAAUUUAGUGGGAGGUCAACAUAUAACAACUGUGAGGAUUAACUGGCACUUUUCGAGUUGCGAAAGUCGAACAGUUUGGGUAUGACAUCGCCGCACUUGGCGGAGAUCUUGAUAUCCGCAAGGUGAUCGGCGCGCGUUUCGCCAAUAUUGACAAUGGCCACCGGUAGCUUCAGGUCCUUGGUCUGCAGGACAACGCGGUAGCCGGAGAAGACCAGGAGACUGGACCCGAGGACCAGCAGGCCAUCGCUAUUGUACACCAUGCCGGCAAUCUGAUCCACUCGUGGCCGUGGCACAGAAUCCCCGAAGAAGACAAUUUCCGGCUUCAAGUCGCCGCCGCACUGCGUGCACUCGGGUAUCCGGAAGUUCUCGAUGUACUCCAGCGGUAUUUCCACAUCGCCAUCGGGCCGGAUCAUGUCGGGGGCAUCUUUGAAGGCCGGAUUGAGGGACGCCAGUAUGCUCUGGAACUCGUGACGAUCGAUCCGGUACUCGCAGGACAGACACUUGACCACAUAGCCACUGCCGUGAACCUCCACAACAUUUCGACUGCCCGCCUUCGUGUGCAGCCGGUCCACGUUCUGGGUGACCACCGCCUGGACCCGCUCCUCCCGCUCAAAUCUGGCCAGCGCGUGAUGCGUGGCAUUGGGCUGUGUUGCAGAAAACUUGGGCCAGCCCACAAAGUUCCUGGCCCAGUACCGCUUGCGCACCGCCGACGACUUGACGAACUCCAUGUGCUGAACGGGCUUGUGGUUGGAGCGGGCGUAGAGGCCCACGCCCUCGGAACGGUAAUCGGGAAUGCCUGGAAUUUAUUUCAAGUUAUUAGAGAGCCAGAAAUGUUGAUUUAAAUGAAAUACUAAUGCGAAUCCAAGUAUAAGCUAGAAAUCACUUGCAUUAGCAUUACAUAAAUAAAUGAAUAAUGAACAAGCGUUUGGAAGUCAAUCUGAAA